rnacentral:lncRNA from 1 species
GCCUCUGCCCCGGCAGCGAUGACUCUACAGCCCAUGAUUUCCGCAGCCCACGAUUGGCUGGGGCACAGCGAUAAGAAUUCAACCUAAUGGGCACCUCACCUCCCACCUGCUUGGUACGCAGAGCAGAGAAUGGGGAGUCCCAUACCCUCCCUUUCCGGCUUCUUUAUAUUGUCUCCCUAAAAAUCUCCGAUUGGACACAGGU